GAUGUUGUUGCUGAUGCUG
rnacentral:miRNA from 1 species